AGAGUUUGAUCAUGGCUCAGGAUGAACGCUAGCGGCAGGCUUAACACAUGCAAGUCGAGGGGUAACAGGUCACGCUUUAGGGCGUGAUGCUGACGACCGGCGCACGGGUGCGUAACGCGUAUAGAACCUACCUUUUACAGAGGGAUAGCCUUUAGAAAUGAAGAUUAAUACCUCAUAGUGUUGUAGAUUGGCAUCAGUUUACAAUUAAAGAUUUAUCGGUAAAAGAUGGCUAUGCGUCCUAUUAGUUAGUUGGUAAGGUAACGGCUUACCAAGGCAUCGAUAGGUAGGGGUCCUGAGAGGGAGAUCCCCCACACUGGGACUGAGACACGGCCCAGACUCCUACGGGAGGCAGCAGUGGGGAAUAUUGCGCAAUGGGGGAAACCCUGACGCAACGACGCCG
rnacentral:rRNA from 1 species